rnacentral:lncRNA from 1 species
UUUGGUGUUUUGAUGAGAUUUUAGGAAUUUGACGAACCAUAUUUAAUUUAAUGCAUUAUUUUUAGUAUUUUUAAAUUGAAUAAAUGCCAAAUAAUUGUGUUGAGCUGUCUUGAUGAUUUGUAUAAGUUUGAAUUGUGUUGUUGGGCAUUGGUCAAGGUUGAUUUGACUUUGUUAGGUUAAGAUCAUUGGAUUUAGAGGAUUGAUGGAAUGUAC